rnacentral:rRNA from 1 species
CGGUAAAAGACAGUUAAGCAGGACUACAUAGACCAUUAGAUCUUUAGUACAGGAGUAAAAUCUAGAUACUAAAAGUUAUACCUGACAUGGUUGUUUAUGGUGCUGAGUCUGUGACAGCUUUAAGGGAAACUGGGAUUGGAUACCCCAUUAUUUUUAGUUGUAAAUAUAGUUUGAGCUUACCAGAGUACUACGAAUUAAAAAGUUUAAAACUCAAAGGGCUUGGCGGUGUUUUAGACCUCUCAGGGGAACCUGUCUCAUAAUCGACAAUCCACGUUAGACCUAACCUUCUAUGGUAAUUCAGCCUGUAUACCGUCGUCGUCAGGUAACUUCUAAAAAUACAGUAGUUAGCUUGAGAAUUUUUCAAUUAAUACGUCAGAUCAAGGUGCAGCCAAUGAGAGGGUGAGGAUGGGUUACAGUUACAAAUUUGUAAUUACGGAAGGAGACUUGAAAUUAAGUGUCUUGAAGGAGGACUUGAAAGUAAUUUUAAUUAUAUAAGUGGAAUGAAUAAGGCUCUGAAACGUG